AACAAUGAGUUUGAACAGUCUUUUCCUUUCUCAUAGCUUUAUCUUCAAGCAAGAAUGCAAGCCGAAUGGGCACGGCUCCUUCGCCCCACGCUCCAGUUCUUCCUGAUCGCCGCCUCCGUCUAUACGGGACUGUCCCGUGUCUCAGACUACAAACACCACUGGAGUGAUGUACUCACAGGACUCAUACAAGGAGCCCUCGUGGCUUUACUAGUGGUUUUCUGUGUGUCGGAUUUCUUCAAAAAGAAAGUCGAACCACAGAAGGAGGCAGAGAUCCCACACACCACCUUACAAGAGACACCUACGAAUGGAAAUCAUUAUGAAAACCCAAACUAA